ACUGGUAUAUAGAAUAGAAUAGAAUAGAAUACAAUAAUAGUUAUAGACAGAUAGACAAGUAGAUAGAAGGAUAUUUAUUCGAUCGCGGACAUAUGUAAAAUAAAGAAAGAGGACCGUGAACCGAAACAAUGGGAUUAAGAUUAUACUAGCACUGGUCAAAUUAUAGCGCCAUGGUUAACCCAGAUUCGCACGUAGAGAGACAGGGAGAGAAAAGGAGUGUAUACGAAUUACGGGGAUCCGCAAGGGGUGUAAAUAUACUUCAUCAACUAGUAUUGCAGGCGUCUACACGCGAGUCCUCUAUCGAUCACCAAUCCCUCAUGUCAUAAUAUAACAUGACACUUUGAGGCGCGCUAUAGCAACACUGACAGCAACAAUUAUGACCAGCAAAUGACGGUGAUAACAUCUUUCUCGACCCUUAUGCGAUGCUUUUAUCAAUUCACUGCUACUGUUGGCACAAAAUCGCUUCCGCGGUAGUCGGGAUUUCGAUAACGGGUUCCUGAUAUCCGGUAGGUGAACAAAAACCGGAUACACAUAACAGGACAUACUCCGUAAGAAUCACUUUUAUACAGUAAUAAAUUUAUAGUGUUUAGCUGUGAGCGGCUAGAUGAUAGAAACUUGUUAAAAAUACAAUACAAGCGAAGAAACCCCGCGAGGCUUUAAUAAAUGAUACCUAGCGACGUGCUCAUCGCAAAAAAAAACCGCUAAGAAUCCACAAGCUUUUGUCCAUCUCCACAGACAACCGAAAACUUCGCGUGAUCUCAUUAAACGGCUCCUAGGCACGCCAUCGGAAUUAAAAAUGUUCAAAAAGUGAAGAAGCUGAAUAAAUCACAGCACAAGUAGAUAGUAAAGACUCUAUAAAGAGUUUAUAGAUCACUGAUUAGCACUAAAACAUUUUGAAACGAAGUAUUACUCUCCAAAACGACAUCACGAGAGUUAUAAAUCGUUUUCAGUAAAUCUCGAAUGAUACUUAAAUAUAGUGUCAUGAUUUUUCUGUACCAUGGUACUUACCUUUGGCGACUUCCAUGAUGAUUUUUCUUUACGUAUCAAGCUGACUGGCUCUAAUUACUCGACGCGAAUGAUUUAGCGCGCACGGUUCUUCUCUCGGCAAGCUAAUACGUGCGGAUGAAAGUAUAACU
rnacentral:lncRNA from 1 species